UUUAUCUUUACCUUCACAGGGUACUUAAGUUAAGCUACUAUGAAGCUAGGGAGAGGGGAGAGGGAGAGAUGAAUCUCCUUUCCCUAUGCCUUUUCCCACUGGAGGGUUUAGGGACCAAGCUGCUGUUGUGUCACACAAGCCGCCGGCACCUCCACGUUGCCACUUAAAAUGCCGACUGCUGGGCCUCCACCACCGAUUCCAGAAGGGAAUGCUCAGCAAAUUAACUACUCAAGGAGACGCCACGUGGUUAUUAAAAACAGGCUCCAUUGUCAGGUGAGCUCUCUCCCAGGCUGGCAGAACACGAAGUGAGCAGCCUUUACAAGAACAUAUGUGGAACUUCAAUCACGGCUGCCGUUCACGUCAGAAAUGGCUCCAGCAUCAGCACAGCAGGAAUAAACUGCUAUUGUAAAUAGUCCCCAACACAAUGUGAAACCCAAUAAAUGUGAAACAAUUAAAAAAAAACAAA